CCUUACCACAUUGACUGGCUUGGAGUAGUUGCUGUUCAUGAGCAAGAUGAGACCAUUCACCAAGUCGCUAUAUAGAAGGAAUGGGACAAGAGCUUGCAGAAUGAAGUUACUGACCACCCGACCUGUACAAAGAUGAAACAGCAGAGCAUGGUUUUGGCAGGAAAUGCCUUCCUUCAUAUAUUAUUAGGGGUGACGGCUUUAUUAACAUGCUCUCAUUAAAAAGAAAACUGCAAGAAUAAAACAGAUAGUUUGAAACAGACACUUUGAAGGUAGAAAUCAUCUUGAAUUGGAAAGUAAGGACAACCUUACCGUCAUUCAUAUGCAUGCGGGGCCCAAAAGUGUUAAAGAUUCUGGCGACCCGAACUUCCACUUGCUCCUAAAAAAACGCACCCAAAAGUGUUAAAGAUUUUGCCGACACGAACUUCCACAUAAAAAUAUAAAGAAACAAAAUUCAUACCACAAAAAAGACACAAUAAAUUUUAGGAUAAAGUAAAA